rnacentral:hammerhead_ribozyme from 1 species
AUACAACUGACGAGUCCCAAAUAGGACGAAACGCGCGUCCUGGAU